AUAGUCGAAUUCACAUCAAUCCAUAUGUAUUGGGUGGGUUGAAGUGGAACUUGAACUAAAUUCCACUCAAUCCACUCCGACACAUGUGGAUUGAGGUAAAUCCGACA
rfam:Sorghum bicolor cultivar BTx623 chromosome 7, whole genome shotgun sequence.